UUAAUUUACCGGUUUUAUGUCCCAGCGUGGGAUGUGAAGUGUGAUGCACACUUAACGUUAGGUUCGUUCAUUUCAUUCACAUCGGUCAAUUCUAUGGAUUCGAAAGACGUAAGCCGAAACGAAAGAGUUUCGCGGUAAGGACGAGUUGGUUCGUUCGGAAUAAUUUACGUGCGGAUGGCACUCGAUCGUUCGAUUUUCACGGUUGCAGCCCAGUGCAGUGGCGCUCGCGCUCUCUGACAGUUGGAGGGAGGGGGUAGGUAAGCGAGCGUGGGCGCGGGACGGGAGUCGUCGACGCAACCUGUAGCGGCAAGGACACGUCUUGGGCUAGUAUUUGUCACAAGGUUAAACACGUAGAUAGUUGAUGGGCAUUCUUGCUGCGAUAAUAUUUAUUCUAUAUCAUAAAUUGUGUUACGCACAGUGGAUACUGAUGUUGUUGUUCUCGCAGUUGCAUGUAUAUCACAAUUGCCGGAACUCCAGGAGUUAUGGGUACAUAUUGGCACAGGAAAGAAUCACCAGUUCCUCUCGUGCCAUGCUAUUGCAGCUUCUUUAGGACCAGAAAGGACAGAAGUUUUGCCAUUCUUCCACGCCUUUUCCGGUUGCGACACUGUUUCUUUUAUGUGUGGAAAGGGAAAAAAAGCGUAUUUCAAGCUUGGAGCGCAUAUCCUGCUGUAACGGAGGGAUUUAAAUAUGGCAAACAAGGCAAUAUUGAGCAGGCGUUGCCAAUAUUGGAAAAAUUUGUUAUAUUCUUGUAUGACAAAUCAGGUACAAGUACGAGUGUAAAUGAGUGCCGAAAAGUGCUAUUUACAAAAAGAAGUCUCCAGUUAGAGAAUCUGUCUCCAACGGAAGAUGCGCUCCGUAAACAUAUUCUCCGUGCAGCUUACCAAGGAGGCUAUGUUUGGGGACAGAUUAUAGCCCCUCAGCAACAGCUACCAUCCCCUGCUGACUGGGGCUGGUCCAAAGAAAAUGGAUAUUGGGAGCCCAUAUGGACAAGCCUACCUGCGGCGGCUGCUGCUUGUUUAGAGCUAAUUCGUUGCCGCUGCAAAACAAAAUGCGCAGGGAGGUGCAACUGUAUUAAAAAAAAACUAAAAUGCACGGACCUAUGUGCAUGCAGUGGCAAUUGCGAAAAAUAGAUAAAUAUCUUAAUUUAAUCCGCAUUUUUUUGUAACCUAACCUAACCUAACCAUUUUAAUUUUAUCACAUUUAUAAUAACUAUACUGGCAAAAGUUUGCCCAACAUCUUUAUUUAUAUAUUUAAUUUAUAUUUGUAUAUAAUAUAUAUCACUUCCAGAAGUAAUUUGUUAAUGUAAUCUACAAUCAGAAGAAUAACAACUUAUCAGAAAUCAUCUAAACAUACUUAAAAAUCCUAAAAGCUGCAUACCGCUCUUACAAUGCAGGUACGCCGCGCGACAAAAAACAUUUUUUUUACAGAUUUAUAAAAGAAAAAUGUUUGACAUGUUUACUAUUCUAUAUAGUAUGAUAACUGGGCUAUUCGCAGGUAUUUUUUUUCUAGAGAUAAUCCUUAUAGUUUUAAUUUUGUAGAGGAUUUUCGAAAAAAAAAGUGAGAAGAUUUUUUUUGAUUUUUGAAUUUCUCGAUUUUUUUGUAUGGGUGAGUAAAAAUUUAGGCACAGAAAUGAAUUCUUCAUCCCUGUAUUACACGAAAAAGACACCAAACUUGAUAUAGUUGCGAGAUGUAUGCAGAUAUAAAGCUUAGAGUGAGGCGCG